CGUACCGGGAAAAUCUUAUCUGAUUCUGGAUCGGUUACACUCCCCUGUCACCAGUGAUCCUUUUUUGCUGACAUUCUGAAAAAGUAUUGUGUAGUCCCUGUGGCAAGAACAUUAAAGAUAAAGGGGAAACUAUAAACAGAAGAUAUUAUCAACAAAAUAAGAUUUACAGAGGUCAACAAAGCCUAAAUGGUCAGACAUCUUGAUUUUCAUGGUCAUCAUUCACAGAUCAAUACUGAACAGAAAGCUGAUUUUCUCCAUAGUGCGACUUUUUUAUUAAUUUGAAAUGGAACGUGUUUUUUCCUACAUUUAUUUGAAAGAGGAAAUUUCAACAUGAUGACUAUAAACAAAAAGGAGUCAUAUCAUCACGAUCAUUGAUGCACAAGAACUUGAUCAUAUAAAUACAACAAUGUAAUUAUCAAAUGACAGA